rnacentral:rRNA from 1 species
UUAAGCGACUAAGCGUACACGGUGGAUGCCCUGGCAGUCAGAGGCGAUGAAGGGCGUGCUAAUCUGCGAUAAGCGCCGGUAAGGUGAUAUGAACCGUUAUAACCGGCGAUACCCGAAUGGGGAAACCCAGUGUGACUCGUCACACUAUCAUUAACUGAAUCCAUAGGUUAAUGAGGCGAACCGGGGGAACUGAAACAUCUAAGUACCCCGAGGAAAAGAAAUCAACCGAGAUUCCCCCAGUAGCGGCGAGCGAACGGGGAGGAGCCCAGAGCCUGAAUCAGCAUGUGUGUUAGUGGAAGCGUCUGGAAAGGCGCGCGAUACAGGGUGACAGCCCCGUACACAAAAGCGCAUGUGCUGUGAGCUCGAUGAGUAGGGCGGGACACGUGGUAUCCUGUCUGAAUAUGGGGGGGACCAUCCUCCAAGGCUAAAUACUCCUGACUGACCGAUAGUGAACCAGUACCGUGAGGGAAAGGCGAAAAGAACCCCGGCGAGGGGAGUGAAAAAGAACCUGAAACCGUGUACGUACAAGCAGUGGGAGCACCCUUUGGGGUGUGACUGCGUACCUUUUGUAUAAUGGGUCAGCGACUUAUAUUCUGUAGCAAGGUUAACCGAAUAGGGGAGCCGGAGGGAAACCGAGUCUUAACCGGGCGUUAAGUUGCAGGGUAUAGACCCGAAACCCGGUGAUCUAGCCAUGGGCAGGUUGAAGGUUGGGUAACACUAACUGGAGGACCGAACCGACUAAUGUUGAAAAAUUAGCGGAUGACCUGUGGCUGGGGGUGAAAGGCCAAUCAAACCGGGAGAUAGCUGGUUCUCCCCGAAAGCUAUUUAGGUAGCGCCUCGUGAAUUCAUCUCCGGGGGUAGAGCACUGUUUCGGCUAGGGGGCCAUCCCGGCUUACCAACCCGAUGCAAACUGCGAAUACCGGAGAAUGUUAUCACGGGAGACACACGGCGGGUGCUAACGUCCGUCGUGAAGAGGGAAACAACCCAGACCGCCAGCUAAGGUCCCAAAGUCAUGGUUAAGUGGGAAACGAUGUGGGAAGGCCCAGACAGCCAGGAUGUUGGCUUAGAAGCAGCCAUCAUUUAAAGAAAGCGUAAUAGCUCACUGGUCGAGUCGGCCUGCGCGGAAGAUGUAACGGGGCUAAACCAUGCACCGAAGCUGCGGCAGCGACGCUGAUGCGUUGUUGGGUAGGGGAGCGUUCUGUAAGCCUGCGAAGGUGGCCUGUGAGGGUUGCUGGAGGUAUCAGAAGUGCGAAUGCUGACAUAAGUAACGAUAAAGCGGGUGAAAAGCCCGCUCGCCGGAAGACCAAGGGUUCCUGUCCAACGUUAAUCGGGGCAGGGUGAGUCGACCCCUAAGGCGAGGCCGAAAGGCGUAGUCGAUGGGAAACGGGUUAAUAUUCCCGUACUUGGUGUUACUGCGAAGGGGGGACGGAGAAGGCUAUGUUGGCCGGGCGACGGUUGUCCCGGUUUAAGCGUGUAGGUGUGUGUUCCAGGUAAAUCCGGUUCACUUUAACACUGAGGCGUGAUGACGAGGCACUACGGUGCUGAAGCAACAAAUGCCCUGCUUCCAGGAAAAGCCUCUAAGCAUCAGGUAACAUCAAAUCGUACCCCAAACCGACACAGGUGGUCAGGUAGAGAAUACCAAGGCGCUUGAGAGAACUCGGGUGAAGGAACUAGGCAAAAUGGUGCCGUAACUUCGGGAGAAGGCACGCUGACACGUAGGUGAAGUGAUUUACUCAUGGAGCUGAAGUCAGUCGAAGAUACCAGCUGGCUGCAACUGUUUAUUAAAAACACAGCACUGUGCAAACACGAAAGUGGACGUAUACGGUGUGACGCCUGCCCGGUGCCGGAAGGUUAAUUGAUGGGGUCAGCGCAAGCGAAGCUCCUGAUCGAAGCCCCGGUAAACGGCGGCCGUAACUAUAACGGUCCUAAGGUAGCGAAAUUCCUUGUCGGGUAAGUUCCGACCUGCACGAAUGGCGUAAUGAUGGCCAGGCUGUCUCCACCCGAGACUCAGUGAAAUUGAACUCGCUGUGAAGAUGCAGUGUACCCGCGGCAAGACGGAAAGACCCCGUGAACCUUUACUAUAGCUUGACACUGAACAUUGAGCCUUGAUGUGUAGGAUAGGUGGGAGGCUUUGAAGUGUGGACGCCAGUCUGCAUGGAGCCGACCUUGAAAUACCACCCUUUAAUGUUUGAUGUUCUAACGUGGACCCGUGAACCGGGUUGCGGACAGUGUCUGGUGGGUAGUUUGACUGGGGCGGUCUCCUCCUAAAGAGUAACGGAGGAGCACGAAGGUUGGCUAAUCCUGGUCGGACAUCAGGAGGUUAGUGCAAUGGCAUAAGCCAGCUUGACUGCGAGCGUGACGGCGCGAGCAGGUGCGAAAGCAGGUCAUAGUGAUCCGGUGGUUCUGAAUGGAAGGGCCAUCGCUCAACGGAUAAAAGGUACUCCGGGGAUAACAGGCUGAUACCGCCCAAGAGUUCAUAUCGACGGCGGUGUUUGGCACCUCGAUGUCGGCUCAUCACAUCCUGGGGCUGAAGUAGGUCCCAAGGGUAUGGCUGUUCGCCAUUUAAAGUGGUACGCGAGCUGGGUUUAGAACGUCGUGAGACAGUUCGGUCCCUAUCUGCCGUGGGCGCUGGAGAACUGAGGGGGGCUGCUCCUAGUACGAGAGGACCGGAGUGGACGCAUCACUGGUGUUCGGGUUGUCAUGCCAAUGGCACUGCCCGGUAGCUAAAUGCGGAAGAGAUAAGUGCUGAAAGCAUCUAAGCACGAAACUUGCCCCGAGAUGAGUUCUCCCUGAGACUUAGAGUCUCCUGAAGGAACGUUGAAGACGACGACGUUGAUAGGCCGGGUGUGUAAGCGCAGCGAUGCGUUGAGCUAACCGGUACUAAUGAACCGUGAGGCUUAACCUU